rnacentral:rRNA from 1 species
UGGGGAAUAUUGGACAAUGGGCGAAAGCCUGAUCCAGCCAUGCCGCGUGUGUGAAGAAGGUCUUCGGAUUGUAAAGCACUUUAAGUUGGGAGGAAGGGCAGUAAGCGAAUACCUUGCUGUUUUGACGUUACCGACAGAAUAAGCACCGGCUAACUCUGUGCCAGCAGCCGCGGUAAUACAGAGGGUGCAAGCGUUAAUCGGAAUUACUGGGCGUAAAGCGGGCGUAGGUGGUUCGUUAAGUUGAAUGUGAAAGCCCCGGUCUCAACCUGGGAACGGUCUCUAAAACUGGCGAGCGAUAUUAGGUCAGAGAGUGGUGGAAUUUCCUGUGUAGCGGUGAAAUGCGUAGAUAUAGUAAGGAACACCAGUGGCGUGGGCGACCACCUUGGCUCAUACUGACACUGAGGUGCGAAAGCGUGGGGAGCAAACAGG